rnacentral:rRNA from 1 species
CAGUAGCCACGGUAAUACGAAGGGUGCAAGCGUUAAUCGGAAUUACUGGGCGUAAAGCGUGCGUAGGCGGUUUGUUAAGUCUGUUGUGAAAUCCCCGGGCUCAACCUGGGAAUGGCAAUGGAUACUGGCAAGCUAGAGUGUGUCAGAGGAUGGUGGAAUUCCCGGUGUAGCGGUGAAAUGCGUAGAGAUCGGGAGGAACAUCAGUGGCGAAGGCGGCCAUCUGGGACAACACUGACGCUGAGGCACGAAAGCGUGGGGAGCAAACAGGAUUAGAUACCCCCGUAGUCCCUGUCUCUUAUAC